rnacentral:misc_RNA from 1 species
AAUUUUAAUUUGUUAACCGUACAAUGAAAGACAGACACAGUUUAAUUUUUUACAAGUGUUUUUAUUAUCGACAAAACACAGGAAUUGAUACAAUUUUUAAGACUCAAUGAGUCAUCGGCUCCGAAACCAGAUCGAGUUUCUUAGCCGCCUCUUCGAGCGUUUCGACCGCCUUGUCUUGCUUAAUAAAACUCAUGGCCAGAUUUUUCAGGAUCUCUUCUUCCUCUUCCGCCGUGAGUAUGAGCUCUGGCUCUGACUCGGAUUCUCGACACAGUAAUUUUUUGACAUCUGAGUUGUUUCGACUCAUCCUCUUCAACUCUUCUCUUGAAUUUCUCUGCAUUGCUCUGCUCUGCUCCAUAGGCAUCUACUCGUCAUCCUCGUUGAGGCUACAAUCCGAGAAAGCGAUCAAAAGGUCGCUGUCCUCGUCCGAGGUGUUGUUGUUCGCCUCCAAAGCCAACUUGGCCUUUUUGGCUUUCUUGGCAUUUACUCGUCGUCAUCCUCGUCGAGGCUGCAAUCAGAAAAAGCGCUCGACAGGUCACUGUCCUCGUCCGAGUUUGCCUCCAAGUUUGCCUCCAAAGCCAACUUGGCCUUUUUGGCUUCCUUGAUUCUCCAGAAACAUCACUGGUGUCGUUUCCAGAACCAACAUCAGGGUCUCCACAAGAAUACAGGAUUCCACGACGGGGGUAUCUUCCUUGUCAGAAUCUUCAUCAUCUGAGGCUAAGUUCCUACUUCUACGGAAAGCCGUCGACCAGGAAAAUCAAUUCUAGAAGAUCCAGUGUACACAAAAGAUAUCAUGAAUGAUUCGGGAAAUUCUCCUGAUUCAGGCGAGUCACAGAGCAGUGACAGUGGCGCAAAAGAGUCCCUCCUGAAAGAUUCGUCCUUAUCAUCUAGCAGCAGCCAAGAAACUUUGACUUCAUCUUCAUACUUACCAUGUUCGAUUGAGACAACGGGAAGAAGAUUUGCCUGAAGAAGAAGAAGGCCAUUACAAGAAACCCCUAAACCCUUAAACCGGAUUAAUUGAUAGCCAAACUCGUCCAAUAAUUCCAACUGGGAGUGCAAGCCAGCACGUAAAAAGAACAGACACAGUAGUUGUUGGGAAAAAAUUCAACCUUCUUCAAUGCUACUGAUCGUAGAAGAAGCCGAAACUGAUGAAGAAGCUGUGUGGGAUUCGCAGUAUCAAGUAACAGACCUCGUGUUAAUGAAGAGGUGCAAUCAUUAAAGUUGCAAGAAAACAAUCAAUCAAGAACUACAUCAGCAGCAUCCGAACUAUUGAAUCAGAA